AGAGAGAGAGAGAGAGAGAGAGAGGCAAUCUCUAUUUUAUCUGGCAUGGGAUUGGAGGAAAGAUUUGCAGAGCUACACGUCGAUAAAGAAAAAGCUCCAGAGACAUGGAGUAUUUGCAAGCAUGCCUUUUGUGAUCUGACAUGUAUUUCUCCACUGGUGUUUUUGUACCUCCUGAAAGGAUGUUAUAUUCAUGGGACAUGUAAGGCGACCAAGAAGUUCCGAGCUCUUCAACAACAGGUCCAUCUAGUAUUACACAAUAGCCCGC